rnacentral:rRNA from 1 species
GACGAGGGGGUCCAAGCGUUUGUUCGGAAUCAUUGGGCGUAAAGCGGGUGUAGGUGGCUUUGUAAGUCAGGAGUGAAAUCCCCGAGCUUAACUUGGGAAGUGCUUUUGAAACUGCAGAGCUUGAAUGUGGGAGAGGAUCGUGGAAUUCCAGGUGUAGUGGUGAAAUACGUAGAUAUCUGGAGGAGCACCGGUGGCGAAGGCGGCGAUCCUGGCCCAACAUUGACACUGA